CCGGCGGGUAAUCGCCCGUCCGGGAACUGACACCGGUACCUGAUACGGCCGGUGCAG
rnacentral:ncRNA from 1 species